GAAUGAGGAAAGCGGCGAACGGGUGAGUAACGCGUGGGCAACCUGGCCUUAAGAAAAGGAUAGCCCCCCGGAAACGGGGAGUAAUACUUUAUGAGAAUGAAAGAGGGCAUCCUACUUUCAUUCAAAGCGCAAGCGCUUAAGGAUGGGCCCGCGUAUCAUUAGCUAGUUGGUGAGAUAACAGCCCACCAAGGCAACGAUGAUUAGCCGGUCUGAGAGGGCGAACGGCCACAUUGGAACUGAGAGACGGUCCAAACUCCUACGGGAGGCAGCAGUGGGGAAUAUUGCGCAAUGGAGAAGAACUCUGACGCAGCAAUACCGCGUGAGCGAAGAAGGUCUUCGGAUCGUAAAGCUCUGUUAUCAGGGAAGAAGAAAAUGACGGUACCUGAUGAGCAAGUCCGGCUAACUACGUGCCAGCAGCCGCGGUAAGUACGUAGGGGACAAGCGUUGUCCGGAAUCACUGGCGUAAGGGACGCGCAGGCGGUGAUUUAAGCAGGAUGUGAAAGGCUACGGCUCAACCGUAGACAU
rnacentral:rRNA from 1 species